UACGGGGGGAGCAAGCGUUGUUCGGAUUUACUGGGCGUAAAGGGCGCGUAGGCGGUCGUGACAAGUCACUUGUGAAAUCUCCGGGCUUAACUCGGAACGGUCAAUUGAUACUGAUGUGCUAGAGUGCAGAAGGGGCAAUCGGAAUUCUUGGUGUAGCGGUGAAAUGCGUAGAUAUCAAGAGGAACACCUGAGGUGAAGACGGGUUGCUGGGCUGACACUGACGCUGAGGCGCUAAAUCUAGGGUAGCAAACGGG
rnacentral:rRNA from 1 species